UACGUAGGGUGCGAGCGUUAAUCGGAAUUACUGGGCGUAAAGCGUGCGCAGGCGGUUCGCCAAGUCAGGUGUGAAAUCCCCGGGCUUAACCUGGGAACUGCAUUGGUGACUGGCAGGCUUUGAGUGUGGCAGAGGGAGGUAGAAUUCCACGUGUAGCAGUGAAAUGCGUAGAGAUGUGGGGGAAUACCGAUGGCGAAGGCAGCCUCCUGGGCCAACACUGACGCUCAUGCACGAAAGCGUGGGGAGCAAACAGG
rnacentral:rRNA from 1 species